AAAGGUAAGCUACUAAGAGCGAAUGGUGGAUGCCUUGACUGGUAAAGGCGAUGAAGGACGUACUAGACUGCGAUAAGCUACGGGGAGCUGUCAAGAAGCUUUGAUCCGUAGAUUUCCGAAUGGGGCAACCCAAUGUAUAGAGAUAUACAUUACCUAUAUAGGAGCGAACGAGGGGAAUUGAAACAUCUUAGUACCCUCAGGAAAAGAAAUCAAUAGAGAUUGCGUCAGUAGCGGCGAGCGAAAGCGCAAGAGGGCAAACCCAGUGCUUGCACUGGGGGUUGUAGGACUGCAAUGUGCAAGAGGUAAGUUUAGCAGAACAUUCUGGAAAGUAUAACCAUAGAGGGUGAUAGUCCCGUAUGCGAAAAACAAACCUUAGCUAGCAGUAUCCUGAGUAGGGCGGGACACGAGGAAUCCUGUCUGAAUCCGGGUCGACCACGAUCCAACCCUAAAUACUAAUACCAGAUCGAUAGUGCACAAGUACCGUGAGGGAAAGGUGAAAAGAACUGAGGUGAUCAGAGUGAAAUAGAACCUGAAACCAUUUGCUUACAA
rnacentral:rRNA from 2 species